GGAGUGGCCAACGGCUUGCGGAGCAACAUGCCCAAGUUUUAUUGUGACUACUGCGAUAUAUACCUCACCCAUGACUCUCCAUCUGUGAGAAAGACACACUGCAGUGGUAGGAAACACAAAGAGAAUGUGAAAGACUAUUAUCAGAAAUGGAUGGAAGAGCAGGCUCAGAGCCUGAUAGACAAAACAACGGGUCCUCCUCUCCCUGGUAUGAUGCCAGCACCCCAUAUGGGGGGCCCUCCCAUGAUGCCAAUGAUGGGCCUUCCUCCUCCUGGGAUGAUGCCAGUGGGACCUGCUCCUGGAAUGAGGCCACCUAUGGGAGGCCAUAUGCCAAUGAUGCCUGGGCCCCCAAUGAUGAGACCUCCUGCCCGUCCCAUGAUGGUGCCCACUCGGCCUGGAAUGACUCGACCAGACAGAUAAGGAUAGAGGGGAGGCCUCAUUCUAUCAGUUUUAUAUUACCUGUUCUGCUUCACCAGGAGAUCAUGCUGCUGUGAUGCUGGGUUUUCUAAACAGCAUAAGGAAGACUUGCUCCCCUGUCUGAUCAAAGAGAAUAGUUUUGGAGGGGAGAGGUGGGGCAAAAAAGAUGCAAUUUUCAUUUGUAUUGGGAAAUGUGAAAAUAAAAUUGUCAACUCUUUUAGUUAAA